GUUUUUAUAGUUUAAAUUAAAAAACAUUGGUCUUGUAAACCAAAAAUGAAUCUUUUUCUAAAAACU
rnacentral:tRNA from 1 species